AAUCGUAGGUCAGCAUACUACGGUGAAUACGUUCCCGGGCCUUGUACACACCGCCCGUCAACCAUGAGAGUUGGCAACACCCGAAGUCGGUAGUCUAACCGCAAGGAGGACGCCGCCGAAGGUGGGGUUGAUGAUUUAGGGUUAAGUCGUAACAAGGUACC
rnacentral:rRNA from 1 species